AAGCUCGAUCCCGAUGCUAAGGGAAAGUCCAAGUUAUGAACAGAGAGACGUAGGUGGCCGGGAUGGGAUCUAGGAAUGCAUUAGGACAUUUCAUUUAUAUUACCCCAUAAUUUUCAGUUAUUGUAUUUUUACAAUUAAAUGACCGUUUCCGCAUUUAUUAAAAACUCUGAGAUUUUGAAACCAUUAUUAUUUUUAUUUAUUUAAAUCAGCAUACUAGUUAAGAUA